UUAAAUUGAAGAGUUUGAUCAUGGCUCAGAUUGAACGCUGGCGGCAGGCCUAACACAUGCAAGUCGAACGGUAACAGGAAACAGCUUGCUGUUUCGCUGACGAGUGGCGGACGGGUGAGUAAUGUCUGGGAAACUGCCUGAUGGAGGGGGAUAACUACUGGAAACGGUAGCUAAUACCGCAUAACGUCGCAAGACCAAAGAGGGGGACCUUCGGGCCUCUUGCCAUCGGAUGUGCCCAGAUGGGAUUAGCUUGUUGGUGGGGUAACGGCUCACCAAGGCGACGAUCCCUAGCUGGUCUGAGAGGAUGACCAGCCACACUGGAACUGAGACACGGUCCAGACUCCUACGGGAGGCAGCAGUGGGGAAUAUUGCACAAUGGGCGCAAGCCUGAUGCAGCCAUGCCGCGUGUAUGAAGAAGGCCUUCGGGUUGUAAAGUACUUUCAGCGGGGAGGAAGGGAGUAAAGUUAAUACCUUUACUCAUUGACGUUACCCGCAGAAGAAGCACCGGCUAACUCCGUGCCAGCAGCCGCGGUAAUACGGAGGGUGCAAGCGUUAAUCGGAAUUACUGGGCGUAAAGCGCACGCAGGCGGUUUGUUAAGUCAGAUGUGAAAUCCCCGGGCUCAACCUGGGAACUGCAUCUGAUACUGGCAAGCUUGAGUCUCGUAGAGGGGGGUAGAAUUCCAGGUGUAGCGGUGAAAUGCGUAGAGAUCUGGAGGAAUACCGGUGGCGAAGGCGGCCCCCUGGACGAAGACUGACGCUCAGGUGCGAAAGCGUGGGGAGCAAACAGGAUUAGAUACCCUGGUAGUCCACGCCGUAAACGAUGUCGACUUGGAGGUUGUGCCCUUGAGGCGUGGCUUCCGGAGCUAACGCGUUAAGUCGACCGCCUGGGGAGUACGGCCGCAAGGUUAAAACUCAAAUGAAUUGACGGGGGCCCGCACAAGCGGUGGAGCAUGUGGUUUAAUUCGAUGCAACGCGAAGAACCUUACCUGGUCUUGACAUCCACGGAAGUUUUCAGAGAUGAGAAUGUGCCUUCGGGAACCGUGAGACAGGUGCUGCAUGGCUGUCGUCAGCUCGUGUUGUGAAAUGUUGGGUUAAGUCCCGCAACGAGCGCAACCCUUAUCCUUUGUUGCCAGCGGUCCGGCCGGGAACUCAAAGGAGACUGCCAGUGAUAAACUGGAGGAAGGUGGGGAUGACGUCAAGUCAUCAUGGCCCUUACGACCAGGGCUACACACGUGCUACAAUGGCGCAUACAAAGAGAAGCGACCUCGCGAGAGCAAGCGGACCUCAUAAAGUGCGUCGUAGUCCGGAUUGGAGUCUGCAACUCGACUCCAUGAAGUCGGAAUCGCUAGUAAUCGUGGAUCAGAAUGCCACGGUGAAUACGUUCCCGGGCCUUGUACACACCGCCCGUCACACCAUGGGAGUGGGUUGCAAAAGAAGUAGGUAGCUUAACCUUCGGGAGGGCGCUUACCACUUUGUGAUUCAUGACUGGGGUGAAGUCGUAACAAGGUAACCGUAGGGGAACCUGCGGUUGGAUCACCUCCUUACCUUAAAGAAGC
rnacentral:rRNA from 3 species